rnacentral:rRNA from 1 species
CCUACGGGAGGCUGCAGUGGGGAAUAUUGGGCAAUGGGCGCAAGCCUGACCCAGCAACGCCGCGUGAAGGAAGAAGGCUUUCGGGUUGUAAACCUCUUUUGUCGGGGAGCAAAAGCCGGACGUGUCCGGCUGUGAGUGUAUCCGUAGUAAAAGCAUCGGCUAACUCCGUGCCAGCAGCCGCGGUAAUACGGAGGAUGCGAGCGUUAUCUGGGUUUUUUGGGUUUAAAGGGUGCGCAGGCGGAUUUUUAAGUCUGCGGUAAAAUCGUGGGGCUCACCCCCAUCCAGCCGUUGAGACUGGGGAUCUAGAGUGUGCGAGAGGUAUGCGGAAUGCGUGGUGUAGCGGUGAAAUGCAUAGAUAUCACGCAGAACCCCGAUUGCGAAGGCAGCUUACCAAACUAUAUCUGACGUUGAGGCACGAAAGCGUGGGUAGCAAACAGGAUUAGAUACCCUUGUAGUC